ensembl:lncRNA
AAAAAAGAGUAUACGUCAUGUGGCAAUGACCAUCUUCUCUAACCAAAGACCUCCAGAUGACUUUCCCUUUUGCCUGGCUCACAUCAAAAACACUGUGAUCCACUAAAACACAGGCCACAGAAUCAUUCGAAAUGGAGUGGGGAUUUGUGUUUAAAGCUACAUUAGUAGGCAGAGGAUGUGUCAUUACUGGGCAGCGUAAGCAGGCUCUGCUAGAAUGAAGCGAUUGAGGAAGAAAGAGGGAGAGGAAGAGAGAGAAAUGGAGAGUGGCACUGGAAAGGUUCUGUACCAGAGCUCUUUUGUUCAAAACGAACACACACCUGCCCCGGGCAAGGACACAAAGGUUUCCCAUUCUAAUACUCAUUCAACUACAGAAGGCCUAGUCACAACAGACGACUUCGUCACCACCGUCUCCACCACCCGCAGGACCACCACUCUCCGUACGCGGAGCGUGAAGAGACCCAAUCAGAACCUCAGCCGAAACACAAGCUCAGGAUGCAGUGUGGGUUCACUCUAUACAUCAGUCUGCUGUUCCCUCCUCCUGAUGGCCAUGAUGCAAGGGCUAUGAGGGUCCUUCGAUUAAAUUAUAAAUUCAAGUUAACAAAUAGAUAACAAAUAUUUUCAAAUAAUGUUGAUGUUUAACAUAUUAUGGAAAUAUAAAAUGGACUUAAACUUCCAAAACAGAACAGUCUCACAAUGUACCGAUUUAGUGGAGCAACAAACAGGAUUACUGGACAUACAGGUUCACAUGAAAUGGGUGUAGAAGCAUGUCAUAUGUUAAUCAGAUUAACUUCUGACAAUCCAUUCUGUUUUAAAAAUGAUAAGUUAAAUGCAUGAUUCUGUUA